rnacentral:rRNA from 1 species
CAGCAGCCGCGGUAAUACGUAGGUGGCAAGCGUUGUCCGGAAUUAUUGGGCGUAAAGGGCUCGCAGGCGGUUUCUUAAGUCUGAUGUGAAAGCCCCCGGCUCAACCGGGGAGGGUCAUUGGAAGCUGGGAAACUUGAGUGCAGAAGAGGAGAGUGGAAUUCCACGUGUAGCGGUGAAAUGCGUAGAGAUGUGGAGGAACACCAGUGGCGAAGGCGACUCUCUGGUCUGUAACUGACGCUGAGGAGCGAAAGCGUGGGGAGCGAACAGGAUUAGAUACCCCCGUAGUCCCUGUCUCUUAUAC